rnacentral:rRNA from 1 species
CAGCAGCCACGGUAAUACGUAGGAUGCAAGCGUUAAUCGGAACUACUGGGCGUAAAGCGUGCGCAGGCGGUUUGUUAAGACAGAUGUGAAAUCCCCGGGCUUAACCUGGGAACUGCAUUUGUGACUGGCGAGCUAGAGUAUGGCAGAGGGGGGUAGAAUUCCACGUGUAGCAGUGAAAUGCGUAGAGAUGUGGAGGAAUACCGAUGGCGAAGGCAGCCCCCUGGGCCAAUACUGACGCUCAUGCACGAAAGCGUGGGGAGCAAAGAGGAUUAGAUACCCGUGUAGUCCCUGUCUCUUAUAC